UGCCAGCCUCCGCGGUACUCCUGAUUGUGCAAUCGUUAAUCGGAAUUACUGGGCGUAAAGCGCGCGUAGGCGGCUUGGUCAGUUGGAUGUGAAAGCCCAGGGCUCAACCUUGGAACUGCAUUCAAUACUGCCAGGCUAGAGUACGGUAGAGGGGGGUAGAAUUCCACGUGUAGCGGUGAAAUUCGUAGAUAUUGGGAAGAACACCAGUGGCGAAGGCGGCUAACUGGCUCGGUACUGACGCUGAGAUGCGAAAGCGUGGGGAGCAAACAGGAUUAGAUA
rnacentral:rRNA from 1 species